rnacentral:rRNA from 1 species
AGGAAAAGAAACCUAACAAGGAUUUCCCCUAGUAACUGCGAGUGAAGCGGGAAAAGCUCAAAUUUAAAAUCUGGCAGUCUUUGAUUGUCCGAGUUGUAAUCUAGAGAAGUGUUAUCCGCGUUGGACCGUGUACAAGUCUCCUGGAAUGGAGCGUCAUAGAGGGUGAGAAUCCCGUCUUUGACACGGACUACCAGUGCUUUGUGAUGCGCUCUCAAAGAGUCGAGUUGUUUGGGAAUGCAGCUCAAAAUGGGUGGUAAAUUCCAUCUAAAGCUAAAUAUUGGCGAGAGACCGAUAGCGAACAAGUACCGUGAGGGAAAGAUGAAAAGAACUUUGGAAAGAGAGUUAAACAGUACGUGAAAUUGCUGAAAGGGAAACGCUUGAAGUCAGUCGCGUUGUCCGGGGAUCAACCUUGCUUUUGCUGGGUGUACUUUCCGGUUGACGGGUCAGCAUCAAUUUUGACCGUUGGAUAAAGUGUAGGGGAAUGUGGCAUCUUCGGAUGUGUUAUAGCCUCUGCUCGCAUACAACGGUUGGGAUUGAGGAACUCAGUACGCCGCAAGGCCGGGAAUUUAUUCCACGUUCGUACUUAGGAUGCUGGCAUAAUGGCUUUAAUCGACCCGUCUUGAAACACGGACCAAGGAGUCUAACAUGCCUGCGAGUGUUUGGGUGGAAAACCCGAGCGCGUAAUGAAAGUGAAAGUUGAGAUCCCUGUCGUGGGGAGCAUCGACGCCCGGACCAGACCUUUUGUGACGGAUCUGCGGUAGAGCAUGUAUGUUGGGACCCGAAAGAUGGUGAACUAUGCCUGAAUAGGGUGAAGCCAGAGGAAACUCUGGUGGAGGCUCGUAGCGAUUCUGACGUGCAAAUCGAUCGUCAAAUUUGGGUAUAGGGGCGAAAGACUAAUCGAAACCAUCUAGUAGCUGGGUUCCUGCCGAAGU